AUACCCGCAGCCCGAGUAGUGGUCACUAUUACUGAGCCUAAAGCGUCCGCAGCCGGACCUGUAAAUCCUUGGGUAAAUCGAACGGCUCAACCGUUCGAAGUCCGGGGAGACUGUAGGUCUUGGAACCGGGAGAGGCAAGAGGUACUCUGGGGGUAGGGGUAAUAUCCUGUAAUCCUCGGAGGACCACCAGUGGCGAAGGCGUCUUGCUUGAACGGAUUCGACGGUGAGGGACGAAGCCCUAGGGCGC
rnacentral:rRNA from 1 species